AAAUGCUCCGGCGCUUCGGGAGGGUCUCGCGACCUAUCAGCUAGUUGGUGAGGUAACGGCUCACCAAGGCAUCGACGGGUAGCUGGUCUGAGAGGACGAUCAGCCACACUGGGACUGAGACACGGCCCAGACUCCUACGGGAGGCAGCAGUGGGGAAUCUUGCGCAAUGGGCGAAAGCCUGACGCAGCCACGCCGCGUGAGGGAUGAAGGCUUUCGGGUUGUAAACCUCUUUCAGCAGGGACGAAAAUGACGGUACCUGCAGAAGAAGCUCCGGCCAACUACGUGCCAGCAGCCGCGGUAACACGUAGGGAGCAAGCGUUGUCCGGAUUUAUUGGGCGUAAAGAGCUCGUACGCGGUUUAGUAAGUCGGGUGUGAAAACUUGAGGCUCAACCUCAAGAGGCCACUCGAUACUGCUGUGACUGGAGUCCGGUAGAGGA
rnacentral:rRNA from 1 species